GAUGAAGAACGCAGCGAAAUGCGAUAAGUAGUGUGAAUUGCAGAAUUCAGUGAAUCAUCGAAUCUUUGAACGCACAUUGCGCCCCUCGGUAUUCCGUGGGGCAUGCCUGUUCGAGCGUCAUUUAACCCCUCAAGCCUAGCUUGGUAUUGGGUGCUUGUCCCGCCUCUCGCGCGGCGACUCACCUCAAAGUCAUUGGCAGCCCGCAUCUCGCCGGCCGUGAGCGCAGCACAGACGCGCUCUUGGCAACGACGGAUCGGCUCUCCAAAAGCUUAUUUCAACCACUGACCUCGGAUCAGGUAGGACUACCCGCUGAACUUAAGCAUAUCAAUAAGCGGAGGA
rnacentral:misc_RNA from 1 species